UGCCAGCCGCCGCGGUAAUACGGAGGGUGCGAGCGUUAAUCGGAAUCACUGGGCGUAAAGCGUACGUAGGUGGCAAAGUCAGUCAGGCGUGAAAGCCCUCGCCUCAACCGAGGAAUUGCGUUUGAUACUACUUUGCUAGAGUCUCGGAGAGGUUGGCGGAAUUCCAGGUGUAGGAGUGAAAUCCGUAGAUAUCUGGAGGAACACCAGUGGCGAAGGCGGCUAACUGGCUCGGUACUGACGCUGAGAUGCGAAAGCGUGGGGAGCAAACAGGAUUAGAUA
rnacentral:rRNA from 1 species